UUGCAUGCUCUCUCCCUCUCUCUUCUCUCUCUCUCUCGCAAUCAAGAAGAUCAUGUCAGGCGUGUGGGUGUUCAAGAACGGAGUGAUAAGGCUUGUGGAGAACCCUAACCAGUCAGGAGCCGACUCAUACAGCCGAAGGAAGGUCAUGGUCUAUUUACCGACAGGAGAAGUGGUCUCAUCUUAUUCGAUGCUCGAGCAGAUCCUCCAGAGUUGAAGCCUAGGCAGCAGCAACGUAAAGAGAUACCUGAUACAUUGAUCAGGUAGCUGGGCGGUUGCAUAUUUACAAGGAAGUCUCUGCUUGGUUGUAUUUUUCUUCUUCUAUAUAACCCAUAUGAUUACUGUUAUUAUGAUUAUUAUACACCUUUACCUAUUAUAUAAUUUUUGUUUUGUAUUUUGAUGAAAUUUUGUGAUUGGUACUUUCUGUAAUUUCAUUUGAAUUAAUGGGAUUUUAUAA